UACAGAGGUCCCAAGCGUUGUUCGGAUUCACUGGGCGUAAAGGGUGCGUAGGUGGCGAGGUAAGUCGGAUGUGAAAGCUCGGAGCUCAACUCCGAAAUGGCAUUGGAAACUACCUUGCUUGAGGGUUGGAAGGGGACUGGAAUUCUCGGUGUAGCAGUGAAAUGCGUAGAUAUCGAGAGGAACACCAGUGGCGAAGGCGAGUCCCUGGACAAUACCUGACACUGAGGCACGAAAGCGUGGGAGCAAACAGG
rnacentral:rRNA from 1 species